AUCCCUGUAGCGCAAUGAAUAGCGAUAUGGACUUCUAAUCCACAGGUCGUGGGUUUGAAUCCCACCUUGGAUA